CGUCUCGGAUUCUUUUGUUAGAGCGCCGGGGUGUUCGCGUCUGUGCUGGCUCGCGUGCGAUCCGGCGCCAUCGCUCCUUGGGCGAGCCUUGUGAUGGGUGGUAGACAGGCGGGAAGCGAGCUGACGCCGAAGUGGCGUUGGCGAUGGUGGCGCUUGCUCGGGAGGACCGGUCGAAGAAUGGCGCCAGGAGACGGCUCACGGAGGCGGGGAUGACGCAGGAGGUUUUGGUGUGACCUGGCGCUCUGUAUGUGAUACCACACAGGAGCCUGACCGAGGAUGCCCCGGAAUCCUAAUUUAGCGAACCUUUUUUUCUGAAGACGUUUUGCCCUGAGGAGGAAGAGAAGGGAUUGUUCUUGGUGGUGUCUGGAAGAGAUGUGGCUUUGGAAGAUGAUAUGAAAUAUACAGGAAAGGAAAGAAGGAUUUUUGUUUGAGAGUACCAUUUGCAAACUUACUCAAUAAUUCGAAGAUUUAUAUAAGGCCUGUUGAGAAAGUGGCCUGUCCCCUUCCUCCUUUAAGGAAAGUGCUCGUCACACAGCCCGAUGACCACAAGCUGCGAGAGAACGGACUCCUGAAGUUGUCUUCCGACCAACACAGACACAAUAAGAAAAUAAAUGUAAUUUAAAGUCAAAAUAGUAAGACAAACAGAAGAAUGCUGCUGUUUUAUUGAAAUGUGAGCAUGGUACAUGUGAUUGUGGAACAAAUUGGAUGCUUUGUAAAGAUUUAUUUGUAAUGGGAUGCUACAUGUUUGCGGUACCCUCAGUGCUGCUGGAGUGACAGACAGUUGUGAGCUGCCUGCAGUGGGUGCUGUAAGCUAACUCGGGCCUCUGGGGGAGCAUCAUGGUCUCAAGUUCUGAGUUACCUUUCAGCGCAACUUUUUGUGAAUGAAUUUGAAUUUGUUUGCAUUGUGGAGAAAAAGCAAGAAUGAGGGCUGCUGUUUUGGAAUGUUGUGACUGCUGCCAAUCAAAAUGAACUGUAACUUCCUGUUGCUUCCUGGUAGAGGGCUAGCCCAGAGUCAAACAUAAAACUAGUAAGAAGUAUCCUCACUUACAGUUCAGGAACCAUGCCAAAUGGUUCCUGCCCAGUAAAAACAGCCAGUUGGUCCUCACAGACCCAAUUCUACCACUGUCUUACUGCGGUUGAUUUGUAGUACACUUAAUAAACAUCAUUUCUACUAGUCUGA